UUUGUUUACCUUUCUCUCUCACCUCUGCUCUCCCUUUCUCUCUCGCCCUCUUCCAUUCUCUCUUUCUCCUGCCGGGGCGGAGCUCAGUAUGGGCUCCUGCCCCUGGCCUACGCACCUGGAGGUGAUCAGCACAUCUGUCGCUGAUCAUGAAAGAUUGGAACCCUUCUUAAGAGGGCGAGUCUGCUCUACUCGUCGCUGGAUCGUUGAGUCAUCAGCAUUGCCUCUGGACUUGUUCUUCCCCUGUGCCUGGCGACUGAACGGGAGCAAGAGAGAUAAAGGAGAGGAGAUGUGCUAGGACUGAAUGGAAACUUUCCCUUCCUGGACUCCUGCCUCUUUCACUCCUGGACCCUGGAACCCCGGCCCCUUUUUCCUUUGACACUAUUAUGUGUAUAUAUGAAUUCCACUGUAGGAAACACUGUAAAUAAAUGCACCUUUUGAAGACA